UACGUAGGUGGCGAGCGUUGUCCGGAUUUACUGGGCGUAAAGAGCGCGCAGGCGGUCGUACAAGUCGCGUGUGAAAGCCCCCGGCUCAACUGGGGAGGGUCACGCGAUACUGUUCGACUCGAAGGCAGGAGAGGGAAGCGGAAUUCCCGGUGUAGUGGUGAAAUGCGUAGAGAUCUGGAGGAACACCAAAGGCGAAGGCAGUGUCCUGGGAGGCACCUGACGCUCAGGCGCGAAAGCCAGGGGAGCGAACGGG
rnacentral:rRNA from 1 species